rnacentral:RNase_P_RNA from 1 species
CUAUACGGUCGCGUGACGGAAACGCCAUGAGGAAAGUCCGAGCACCAGAGAGCAGAACGCCGGAUAACGUCCGGUGAAGGCGACUUCAAGGAAAGUGCAACAGAAACAGACCGCAGAGCAAUCUGCAAGGAUGGAAAGGGGAGGUAAGAGCUCACCGACGGCGCAGUAAUGCGCCGUGCCGUGCAAACCCCGUUCGGUGCAAGAUUGGGCAUAUGUCGCAUGGGCUGCUCGCCCGAUAUAUGCUGUGAAUAUCGCUCGAACGCAUCGGCGACGAUGCGUCUAGAUAGAUGACCGUACCAGACAGAACUCGGCUUACAGGUUUA